AGUGAAUAGAUACCCUGGUAGUCCACGCCCUAAACGAUGCACACUAGACCGGUGCGGCUCUGACGCCGUAUUGGUCGUAGAGAAAUUGCUAAGUGUGCCGCCUGGGGAGUACGGUCGCAAGGCUAAAACUCAAAGAAAUUGACGGGGGCUCACACAAGCGGUGGAGCAUGUUGCUUAAUUCGAAGCAACGCGAAGAACCUUACCCGGGUUUGACAUGCACGGAUUAGUUGGCGGAAACGUCAAUGAGGCUCGCAAGAGUACAACGUGCACAGGUGCUGCAUGGCUGUCGUCAGCUCGUGCUGUGAAGUGUUUGGUUAAGUCCAUUAACGAGCGCAACCCUUGUCGCUAGUUGCCAACAGGUAAUGCUGGGGACUCUAGCGAGACUGCCGUUGUAAAACGGAGGAAGGUGGGGAUGACGUCAAGUCCUCAUGGCCCUUACAUCCGGGGUUGCAAACGUGCUACAAUGGCGCGCACAAAGCGACGCAAGGCCGCGAGGCGGAGCAAAUCGCAAAAAAACGCGCCCCAGUUC
rnacentral:rRNA from 1 species